rnacentral:rRNA from 1 species
UACAGAGGCCUCGAGCGUUAGGCGGAAUCACUGGGCUUAAAGCGCGUGUAGGCGGAUUGGUAAGUACCUUGUGAAAUCCCACAGCUUAACUGUGGAACUGCUCGGUAUACUGCUGAUCUUGAGCCACUCAGGGGCUACCGGAACAAAUGGUGGAGCGGUGAAAUGCGUAGAUAUCAUUUGGAACGCCAAUGGUGAAAACAGGUAGCUGGGGGUGUGCUGACGCUGAGACACGAAAGCCAGGGGAGCAAACGGG